GUCUAAAAUGUUUUAUUUUCGCUGUUUUUUUUUCUCCUUACAGAUAAGUUCUGUGAGCUGCUAAAACCAAGGUCAGCGUGAAAGGGAAGUUCCCCUUUGACCGCAGAGAACUUUGUUUUCUGUUGAACAAGUCAUAGUUAACAGCCACAUCACCAUCUUCUGCGAUGCUCUGAAGUUGAUGUUUGCUCCAUACUACUGCUUGAACAUUUCAUACCCAGCAGACCAAGGAGGAACACUAGAGUUUGUGCAAAGGUGACUUUUUAAGAUGAAACCCGACAAGGGAUCGAAAGUGGAGAAGAUCACAUCAAGAAAGCAAUCAGCAGUCAGUCCAAAGGUUCUUUCACUGAUUUACAAGACUGCGGACUAUGAAUGGAUGGAGUAAAAUCUUUGAGUGUCAGAUCUUCGUAUAUUGCCUAGCAGAAAUUCUUGGCAGUGUCACAGACUUAAAAUAUUUGCUGAUAAUUAGCUUCCAUGCUUGAAUUAUUUGUUUUUUCAUGCCUCUUCUGUUGUCAAGAUGAAUUAAUCUAUUCACAGGUGCUUCAGCUUUAAGGACAAUUUCAUUAUAAAUUGUUAUGUGUUUACCAAACUGCUAUAUUGUUGCAGUUUUUAACAAAUUUUUAUUGU